UGCGGUGGGAGCCGGCGGCGUCGUGCGUGCUCCUGGACCGAGGGUGUGGGUGCCGUGUGCUGCGGUCCCUGUUGGUCUCCGCGGCAGUUUUAUUUCCCCGUCCAGGACGCUGCUCCGCGAGCUCGGCAUGUUCCCGGAGCUCAAUGACCUCCUCAGUGCCACCCCGGACCGGGCGGAGCCGGAAUUCGAGGUGCUGGGUCAGGGCCGCCAGGCAUCGCAGAGACAGCCACCCUGAGAGGCCUUUCCGGGGCUCCUGGCCAGAGCUCUGCCUGAAGCAGUGUUCAGGGCCAUUGGACACUGAGGGGAAACUGACUCUACUCUGUGAUGCCGAGACCGAUGGCAGUUUCCUUGUGCACCACUUUCUCUCCUUCUACCUCAAAGCUAAUUGUAAGGUGUGUUUUGUGGCCCUCGUUCAGACCUUCAGUCACUACAACAUUGUGGGGCAGAAGCUGGGUGUCAGCCUGACCGCGGCACGGGAGCGCGGGCAGCUGGUCUUCCUCGAGGGUCUCAGGUCAGCGGUGGACAUCUUCUUCCGGGCCGGGGGCGAGGCACACCCCCUGCAGUUCCUCAGGGAGGCCAAGGCCGCCAGCCUGCAGCCGCUGUAUGAGUUCGUGCGGGAGGCCCUGGAGCCCGUGGAUCAGGGGGCGGCUGCCUGGAAGCGCCCGGUGCUGCUGGUGGACGACCUCAGUGUGCUGCUGAGCCUGGGCGUGGGCGCGGUGGCCGUGCUGGACUUCAUCCACUACUGCAGGGCCUGCGUGUGCUGCCGGCUGCAGGGAAACAUAGUGGCCCUUGUGCACGACAGUGGGGACGCCGAGGACGAGGAGAGCGACGUCCUGCUGAAUGGCCUCAGUCACCAGAGCCACCUGGUCCUGCGGGCCGAGGGCCUGGCCACCGGCUUCUGCAGGGACGUGCACGGGCAGCUGAGGGUCCUGUGGAGGACGCCGUCGCCGCCCGCCCAGCGGGGCCGGAGCCUCACGUUCCAGUACAAGAUCCAGGACAAGAGCGUGUCCUUUUUCGCCAAAGGACUGUCUCCUGCGGUUCUGUGACCCGGGGGGCAGGCGGAGCCCCCGGGCGGUUUCCUCACGGAGGACGAAGCAUCUCCGCCUUCGCAGCCGUGUUCCCAGCUGGACUGCGCCCAGGGAUGAGCGGGCUGUGGCGUGUGCCCUUGUCCCACGUUUAGAAAACACAUCAGGAGCCCGCACCCUGCCUCUGCCGAGAUGGAGCUGGGUGCAGGGGCCCUUACACGUCAGCCCGGCCGUUCACACUGUGCUUUGGAGCCAGGGUGGGUCUGAGCGCUGGCAGGAACCGUACCAACGGUGGGCAUCCUCGGGGACAGAAGGGGCCGUCCUGGCUGCCAUAGAGGGCGCCCCAGGUGCCCCACAUCCUGGCUCCGCGGGCAUCUCAGAGUUUCCACCUUUGUCUUGCAAAGGUCCUUUCCCUAAGCCCAGCGAAGAAGCAGCUUAGGAGGCGUGAGGCCCGAGGAGGCCACACUGGCUGACCCACGCUCCUGGGAAGGGGAGGGCUCCCACCCGUUCAGCUCGGCUCCCACCCGUUCAGCUCGGCUCCCCCUGGUCCCCCUGGUUCUGUGGAGAACGCGGAGGUGCUGUGGGGAACGGGGAACAGGCGGAGAGAACGGGGGACGAGCCAUUACACCAGUUCGAGUCGCAGGAAGCGCACAGGCUGCCGUCGCAGGAGAGCAGUGGUCCCCUCGCCUGGUGUGUGAGUUGCCGGAGCGGAGCUUGGGCGAGAAGGCGUGGUUUGGAAGCAGUGCCAGUGCGAGGCCUUGGAAUGCUCCCGUCUUGUCUCUGAGGACAUCUUAGCUCCUCAGGGUUCAGAAAUGUCUUUUCCUUCUUCACUGCCGGGAAGGGCUGUUCCUUUUUAGCUUAAAAUAACGUCUAAGUGUUCCUUCACUGUUGACUCAUUUAGGAUUCGUUACGGUCUUGUGCUUGUCUCCGUGCUGAUCAUGAAAUGAAAUAGCCCUGCAGUACUGACUGAAGAGAAUGUACUCUGAUUUAUUUACAUGUAAAGUUUCUAAAAUUGAGCCUCUGUACCGUUCACCUAUCUAGGUGUUGAAAGGUUAGUGUAUCUGUGCUCUCAGGAGUCUUUAGUUUUUUAUCUCGAUUUUAGAGAAAAACAUCAGCUGCUUGUUCCACUUAUCUGUGUAUUGGUUGAUUCUUGUUUGUGCCCUGACGAGAUCGAACUCACAACCUUCGUAUAUUGGAACAACGUUCUAACCAACUGAACUACCUGGCCAGGGCCUCAAGAAUCUUUUUUGAAAGGGUAUUGUGCCCGCCCUGGCCGGUUUGGCUCAGUGGAUGAAGAUUUGGCCUGUGGACUGAAGGGUCCUGGUUUGAUUCCAGCCAAGGGCACACGCCCAGGUUGUGGGCUCAAUCCCCCAUGUGGGGCGAGCGGGAGGCAGCCGAUCCAUGAUUCUCUCUCAUCAUUGAUGUUUCUCUCUCUCCCUCCACCUCUCUGAAAUCAAUAAAAAUACGUAAAAAAAAAAAAAAAAAGAUACCUAACAUAACUAGCCAUCUGGGAUGUUCCUUAACAGAGAAUGUUGCUAAUUACCACACAGCUCAGCUAGAAUUCAGUAACAGCUACAAGUCAGACAGUCCUGUAGGUUUGGAAAGAAGGAAGCAUACCCUUCAAGGAGCAGAGGGUCAAUGGGAGAAACGGGGUAAGUCACUUCAUGCUCCUAAAGUGGCUACAAACCCACGUGCCCUCGCAGGUGUGGCUCGGUGGGUAGACAAACCCGGAUCUACCCCUCACCCAGGUGACCAGGGUCCGUCAAAUGUCUCUCAGACUCCUCAGCCAGCACACCCACAGGAAAGUCCAGAGCCUCAAGGAAGCCGAGAGGGGGGCGGGAACAGCGCCAUCCCGCCUGGCGGUCAUGGUGGAGAUGAGCUUUUAUUAGAGCACCGAACACGCGACCUACACAACACAGGUGCUCACUAAAGCGUUUACCCAGAUCCCUGGCUCAGUGGACAGAGCGUGGGCCUGCAGACUGAAGGGUCCUGGGCCCAAUUCCGGUCAAGGGCACGUGCCCUGGUUGUGGGCUCCAUCCCCAGUAGAGGGCAUGCAGGAGGCAGCCGAUCAAUGAUUCUCUCUUCCUCUCUGAAAUUAGGAAUAUCUUUUAAAAAAGAAUGGCUACUGUGUUUUGGAAUCGAGGCAUUUUACAUCUGUCCACCUGGAUCUUAAUUUCUUUCCGAAAGUCGCAGAGGUCAAUGUUGGCUGCAUCCUGAAACCGGACUCCUCAGGUGCGGUUCCCUGAGGUCCAGUAUUUUCCGGCCACAAGCAGCUGCUGCUGCUGCUAGAACCAUGAUGCAGAGCUGAGGAGUCUGGCCGGAAGCAGCCCUGUCCACUUGAUCCGUCGCCAGCUGCUGUCACUAGUGCUUAACUCGUGGUGAUCGUGAUCACUAGUGCAAGUGACUGCAGAGACGGACCCGAAUCGCCAAGAAACACCCUUCUCUGUGUCCCAAUGGCCGAGGUGCCUGGCCCUGGGUUGGAACCCAGAGUCCUGUGUCCAGGCUGUGGCCACCACGUCAGUUAUUAGAGUCACCUCUCUCCCCUCUCCAAGAAAUUUUCCUUAUUUGUGAAAUAGACCCAGCCCGUUUUUCAAGAUUUUCAUGAGGACUGGCCCAGUGUAGAAGCUUAAGUAUGGGAAAUUAUGACUUUUUUUUAAAGAAUAUUUUA